rnacentral:rRNA from 1 species
UACGUAGGGCGCAAGCGUUGUCCGGAAUUAUUGGGCGUAAAGAGCUCGUAGGCGGUCCGUUGCGUCUGCCGUGAAAACCCGAGGCUUAACCUCGGGCCUGCGGUGGAUACGGGCGGACUAGAGGUAGGUAGGGGAGAAUGGAAUUCCCGGUGUAGCGGUGAAAUGCGCAGAUAUCGGGAGGAAUACCGGUGGCGAAGGCGGCAUCCUGGACCGACAUUGACGCUGAACGGCGAAAGCUAGGGGAGCAAACGGG